rnacentral:rRNA from 1 species
AGUGAACGCUGGCGGUAGGCCUAACACAUGCAAGUCGAACGGCAGCACAGUAAGAGCUUGCUCUUACGGGUGGCGAGUGGCGGACGGGUGAGGAAUACAUCGGAAUCUACUUUUUCGUGGGGGAUAACGUAGGGAAACUUACGCUAAUACCGCCUACGACCUACGGGUGAAAGCAGGGGAUCUUCGGACCUUGCGCGAUUGAAUGAGCCGAUGUCGGAUUAGCUAGUUGGCGGGGUAAAGGCCCACCAAGGCGACGAUCCGUAGCUGGUCUGAGAGGAUGAUCAGCCACACUGGAACUGAGACACGGUCCAGACUCCUACGGGAGGCAGCAGUGGGGAAUAUUGGACAAUGGGCGCAAGCCUGAUCCAGCCAUACCGCGUGGGUGAAGAAGGCCUUCGGGUUGUAAAGCCCUUUUGUUGAGAAAGAAAAGCAGCAGGUUAAUACCCCGCUGUUCUGACGGUACCCAAAGAAUAAGCACCGGCUAACUUCGUG